rnacentral:rRNA from 1 species
AGAGUUUGAUCAUGGCUCAGAUUGAACGCUGGCGGCAUGCCUUACACAUGCAAGUCGAACGGUAACAGGUUAAGCUGACGAGUGGCGAACGGGUGAGUAAUGUAUCGGAACGUGCCCAGUAGUGGGGGAUAGCCCGGCGAAAGCCGGAUUAAUACCGCAUACGACCUACGGGUGAAAGCGGGGGAUCGCAAGACCUCGCGCUAUUGGAGCGGCCGAUAUCAGAUUAGGUAGUUGGUGAGGUAAAGGCUCACCAAGCCGACGAUCUGUAGCUGGUCUGAGAGGACGACCAGCCACACUGGGACUGAGACACGGCCCAGACUCCUACGGGAGGCAGCAGUGGGGAAUUUUGGACAAUGGACGCAAGUCUGAUCCAGCCAUGCCGCGUGCGGGAAGAAGGCCUUCGGGUUGUAAACCGCUUUUGUCAGGGAAGAAAAGUCUGGAGCUAAUAUCUCCGGACGAUGACGGUACCUGAAGAAUAAGCACCGGCUAACUACGUGCCAGCAGCCGCGGUGAUACGUAGGGUGCAAGCGUUAAUCGGAAUUACUGGGCGUAAAGCGUGCGCAGGCGGUUCUAUAAGACAGAUGUGAAAUCCCCGGGCUCAACCUGGGAACUGCAUUUGUGACUGUAGAGCUGGAGUGCGGCAUAGGGGGAUGGAAUUCCGCGUGUAUCAGUGAAAUGCGUAGAUAUGCGGAGGAACACCGAUGGCGAAGGCAAUCCCCUGGGCCUGCACUGACGCUCAUGCACGAAAGCGUGGGGAGCAAACAGGAUUAGAUACCCUGGUAGUCCACGCCCUAAACGAUGUCAACUGGUUGUUGGGAAGGUUCCUUCUCAGUAACGUAGCUAACGCGUGAAGUUGACCGCCUGGGGAGUACGGCCGCAAGGUUGAAACUCAUAGGAAUUGAUGGGGACCCGCACAAGCGUGGAUGAUGUGGUUUAAUUCGAUGCAUCGCGAAAACCUUACCUACCCUGACAUGUCUA